rnacentral:rRNA from 1 species
UACGUAGGGUGCAAGCGUUAAUCGGAAUUACUGGGCGUAAAGCGUGCGCAGGCGGUGAUGUAAGACAGAUGUGAAAUCCCCGGGCUCAACCUGGGACCUGCAUUUGUGACUGUAUAGCUAGAGUACGGUAGAGGGGGAUGGAAUUCCGCGUGUAGCAGUGAAAUGCGUAGAUAUGCGGAGGAACACCGAUGGCGAAGGCGAUCCCCUGGACCUGUACUGACGCUCAUGCACGAAAGCGUGGGGAGCAAACAGG